GAUGCCAGCUAGCGAUCCGCCAAAGUUCCUCCGAUGACUUGGUGGGCAGCUUCCGGGAAACCAAAGCAUUUGGGUUCCGGGGGAAGUAUGGUUGCAAAGCUGAAACUUAAAGGAAUUGACGGAAGGGCACCACCAGGAGUGGAGCCUGCGGCUUAAUUUGACUCAACACGGGAAACCUCACCAGGCCCGGACACCGGAAGGAUUGACAGAUUGAGAGCUCUUUCUUGAUUCGGUGGGUGGUGGUGCAUGGCCGUUCUUAGUUGGUGGAGCGAUUUGUCUGGUUAAUUCCGAUAACGAACGAGACUCUAGCCUACUAAAUAGACGUACUUUAUUACCGGCAUCUCAAGGCCCAUCGGCUGUAUUGUUACUGAAUGU
rnacentral:rRNA from 1 species